UGCCAGCCGCCGCGGUAACACGGGGGGCGCAAGCGUUAUUCGGAAUUAUUGGGCGUAAAGGGCGCGCAGGCGGUCUUGUCCGUCAGGUGUGAAAGCUCGGGGCUCAACCCCGGAAGUGCACUUGAAACAGCAAGACUUGAAUACGGUAGAGGAGAGAGGAAUUCCUGGUGUAGAGGUGAAAUUCGUAGAUAUCAGGAGGAACACCGGUGGCGAAAGCGGCUGACUGGGGCCCAUCUGACGCUGAGGCGCGAAGGCGUGGGUAGCGAACGGGAUUAGAUA
rnacentral:rRNA from 1 species